rnacentral:rRNA from 1 species
UACGGGGGGGGCAAGCGUUGUUCGGAAUUACUGGGCGUAAAGGGCUCGUAGGCGGCCAACUAAGUCAAACGUGAAAUCCCUCGGCUUAACCGGGGAACUGCGUCUGAUACUGGAUGGCUUGAGAUUGGGAGAGGGAUGCGGAAUUCCAGGUGUAGCGGUGAAAUGCGUAGAUAUCUGGAGGAACACCGGUGGCGAAGGCGGCAUCCUGGACCAACACUGACACUGAGGAGCGAAAGCCAGGGGAGCAAACGGG